rnacentral:tRNA from 1 species
UCUUUAGUAGCUCAGAGGUAGAGCAGAUGGCUGUUAACCAUAAGGACGUAGGUUCGACUCCUACCUGAAGAG